GCCAAAUUUAACUUUGCACAAUAAAGCUAAAUUUUUUUGACAAAGUGUACCUGACUGAACUAAGGUAUGUAGGAACUUGGAGGCCCUCUUUUUGUUUUCUACACACUAGUUUUUAUUUAAUGUAAAUUUGUGACCAUUUCACCUUUGGCAGUUCUGUCAAAUCAUCCAUCUAAUGAGCAAAUGGGUCAACCAGUCUGCUUAUGUUCUUCAAUGUUGACUUAUUCCACUAACACUCAAUCCUGGACAUUAACUGGUCUCACACGUAUUCAGAGACACUUGUGUUACCCUCCAAAAACAACUUGUUAGCCAUUGCUUGUUUAUAGGUUAAGAGGGUUGUUUUCCUUCAAAUUAAGGCCUCGUCCACAUGGAAACCAAUUUAGGAGUAAGUGCAAAAGGUUUUGUCUUCGUAUUGGUGUUCCAUCCACACGGAAAUAGCAUUUCAGGUGACUGUAAAGGAUACUUUUGGAAAACGGGUCCCAGAGUGCAGAAAUCCAUAUAUUGUUUUGCAGUGAUAUUAAUAACUUAUCUCUUUUUAUCAUAGGAAGGCUAAUGAGGCGUUCACGCCAAGCGCAAGUAAAAUCAUCUACUUGCUUCAUUCACGCAAAUCUAGACACAUGAAUGAAUAGUAUUUACUUGCUUCAUUCCCGCGUCAACGAUAAUUUCAACGGUAAUCCUUGCCAAUUCAACUGGCAGGAUCAAGUGAUAGACAAAAGUUUUUUUACAAUUUACUAGGUAAUCCGACCUCCUCACUCACCUGCCCUCAGACGAGCUCCUUUUUAUUCUGGUUUUGGUAAUUGAAACAAAAAGGUAUCAUAUAAUCCGACCCACACACCAACACGAUCAGUUUGUCCUCCAUUGUAGAUACCAGUAAAAACUGUCCAUUUUCAUACGUUACCUGGCAACCUUCAUGCUGAUUGGUUAUCGCAACGCAAAUGUCAGCUCAAGUUGAGACAUUUUUGGCUUCCGCCCAAUUCGUGUCAUUCGCGCCACCAGAGUAGUACGAACAUCCGAUCUCGUCUUUGCAUUGACUUAGUAUGCAAUUCAGUCGUGCGAAUGUUUUUACUCGCGCGAUGUGUAGAGACAGUAAGAAUCUCCCAUAAUUAAGGGUUUGGAUUACUUACUGAGUUCUAGUCAUUUGUGAGGCAGCCAGGCUACACAGUGCCGGUGUCUUGCUCAUUUAGAGGUUGAUUUGGGUCAGAAAUUCCAGUAUUGCAACAAUUGUAUUUGCAUUUCAUAGGGCCUCCUUAGAACCCAAAGGGUCACAUUAUUGAGACUGUGUCAUAUUGUGAGUUAUUUAGUCUAAUAUCACACACACACACACACAUACUGUAUAUAUGUAUAAUACAUAAAUAACACAUAUAUAGCAGAUGUGUUUUUCAGUCUAUUAUCACAUGUGUGAAAUAUAUGAAAAGCAGCUGUGUUGGAAUGGGACCAGAAUUAAAGCUCUCAGUCAAAUUAGCCUCUGGAAACUAAUGUAAUUAUUUAGCACUUCAGUGAGCCAUAGAGGCGGGAUGCUGGGGUGCUGGAGGGGGGACGACAUGCUCAAGCUGACAUGAUUUCAUGCAGAAAAUUUAUUCAACUGUCAAUAUCAUUUAGAUCUAUCCGGGUGAGCACUGGAGGCUGUGAGGAGGGGUCAGAGAUAGCAGCUCAAUCAUAAUGACUUUGUCUUCAAUCUUCACGUCUUUGAUACCGAGGCCAUGUUACUCUCCAUUGUAAAUAUACAGGGCAAAAUGUGAAUAAAAAUUGCGUUUACAGAGACAGGCAACUUUAACCCAGAUUUGAAUUUAUUUAAAUACAAGACAGACAAAAAUCACAACAAUAGUUCAAUUUGCUAUGGUUUAAGGAGCAUUAUACAAAACACUUAAUUGUGUAAGGAUGGUCAAAUCAGUCUUGUUCUACUUAUCUGACGAUUUCGUGUCCAAUUGGUCAGUGCCACACCUAUCAUCCCAUCCAGGAUAACAUCCCACUUGAUAUUUUCCAUUUCAACUGUGACCUCCCUUUGAACUCAAGUCUUUACAGAAACAAAGAUAUGACAUCUGAGAGAGUGGCGAUAAAAGGAAGAGAGAUUUUCAUUUGUAGUGGCCUGGACAGCAGCAGUAUUUAUCUUCCUGGUCUGUGAGUUCAAGGCUGGUCAGAAAGAAUAAAAGGUAGUCAGAAGAUGGAAUGACCAGAAUGUAAUCUUAAACUCCAGGAGACACUGAAGUGUUGAUGCUUGGUGUUAGGAGAAAAAGAGAGGGAGACAGAGCAGCUGAUCAGACAGUAGCUGGAAUUAUCAACAGAGCAAUCCUCUGCGAGAGAGAAUGGUUUCUAUCUAUCAUUUGCAUGUUUAAGCUUGGAGCGUUAAAACCCACAAAGAGAUAUUUGCAUUCUCUUUACAGUCAUUUGCAAAGGCAAUUCAGGAAUGACGAGAGAGUCUCCUGUGAAAGAUUCCUCCUGUCCAUUGUUGGAAGAAAAAAACAUCCUGGAUUUUUCUUAAAGUGCUCUUAUCAUGGCACUGGCGGAUUUGCAUGUUGUCUCUGGUGUCACUUAUUUCACAUUCCAUAGUGUCUCACUUCAACUACAUGCUAAAGACUGAUGUAGGGCAGUGAUGUCUGUGUGUGUUUGUCUGUAUUCUGUUACCUCAGGUUUUUUCCCAGUGUCAUGGCGAUUAUAUUCAAGAAAUCAUUGUGUCCUGCAGAGAGAAGAGGGGAUGGAGCGUGGUCACAGAGAUGACUCAUGACAAAAAAGAAAAGAGAGAUGAAGAUGAGAUACUGUUGAAACAGUGAACCGUUUGAGUCCCCAGGCUGUCUUUGCAAACAGGCAGGACUCUGCAUGUUAUACGACCAUGAGGGUGCACUUACCACCUCAGAAAAACAC
rnacentral:lncRNA from 1 species